rnacentral:rRNA from 1 species
CCCUUAGAUGUCCUGGGCCGCACGCGUGCUACACUGACGCAUACAGCGAGUACUCCCGGCUCCGCAAUGGCAGCUGGUAAUCAUCAAUAUGCGUCGUGAUGGGGAUAGAUCUCUGGAAUUUUUGAUCUUGAACGAGGAAUGCCUAGUAAGCGCAGGUCAUCAGCCUGCGUUGAUUAAGUCCCUGCCCUUUGUACACACCGCCCGUCGCUCCUACCGAUUUCGAGUGGUCCGGUGAACCUUUCGGACCGGGAGCAGCCUCGUGCUGCGCCUGGAAAGUCAAGUAAACCACAUCACUUAGAGGAAGGAGAAGUCGUAACA